rnacentral:rRNA from 1 species
AGAUUGAACGCUGGCGGCAUGCCUUACACAUGCAAGUCGAACGGUAGAGUAGCAAUACUUGAGAGUGGCGAACGGGUGAGUAAUAUAUCGGAACGUGCCCAGUCGUGGGGGAUAACGUAGAGAAAUUUACGCUAAUACCGCAUACGAUCUAAGGAUGAAAGCGGGGGGCCGUAAGGCCUCGCGCGAUUGGAGUCGGCUGAUAUCAGUAUUAGGUUGUUGGUGAGGUAAAAGCUCACCAAGCCGACGAUCUGUAGCUGGUUUGAGAGAACGACCAGCCACACUGGGACUGAGACACGGCCCAGACUCCGUACGGGAGCGAGCAGGUGGGUAAUUUGGACUAAGUGGGACGAAAGCCUGACUCCGAGCCAAUGCCGCGUGCGAGG